rnacentral:rRNA from 1 species
UGGUGGAGUGAUUUGUCUGGUUAAUUCCGUUAACGAACGAGACCUCCGCCUACUAAAUAGUUUGAAUUAUCUAUUUGAUAGUUUCUAACUUCUUAGAGGGACUUUUGGUCGAUUAGCCAAAGGAAGUUGGAGGCAAUAACA